rnacentral:rRNA from 1 species
UACAGAGGGUGCGAGCGUUGUCCGGAAUCACUGGGCGUAAAGGGCGCGUAGGUGGCGCCCCAAGUCGAUGGUGAAAGCUCGCCGCUCAACGGCGAGUCGGCCACCGAUACUGGGGGGCUUGAGCACUGUAGAGGCAGAUGGAAUUCCGGGUGUAGCGGUGGAAUGCGUGAGAGAGUCCGGAAGAACACCGGUGGCGAAGGCGGUCUGCUGGGCAGUUGCUGACACUGAGGCGCGACAGCGUGGGGAGCAACAGG